rnacentral:rRNA from 1 species
UACAGAGGGGGCAAGCGUUGUUCGGAAUUAUUGGGCGUAAAGGGCGUGUAGGCGGUCUGCUAAGUCAUGUGUGAAAUCCCUCGGCUUAACCGAGGAACGACGCAUGAAACUGGCAAGCUAGAGUACCAAAGAGGGGGGUGGAAUUCCCGGUGUAGCGGUGAAAUGCGUAGAUAUCAUCAAGAAUACCGAUUGCGAAGGCAGUUUACUAAGCUUUAACUGACACUGAGGCACGAAAGUGUGGGGAUCAAACAGG